rnacentral:rRNA from 1 species
GGUUUACCUGUGUGACUGCGUACCUUUUGUAUAAUGGGUCAGCGACUUAUAUUCUGUAGCAAGGUUAACCGAAUAGGGGAGCCGGAGGGAAACCGAGUCUUAAUUGGGCGUUAAGUUGCAGGGUAUAGACCCGAAACCCGGUGAUCUAGCCAUGGGCAGGUUGAAGGUUGGGUAACACUAACUGGAGGACCGAACCGACUAAUGUUGAAAAAUUAGCGGAUGACCUGUGGCUGGGGGUGAAAGGCCAAUCAAACCGGGAGAUAGCUGGUUCUCCCCGAAAGCU